AACGCCUCACAAAAAGUGUGUUUUGAAUGACCAGUUUCCAGACACCUGAGUGGGUAAUCCUGCCCACAGAAGCAAAGAGCAGAGACUUUCUUUAAAGGCAAGCUGGUGUUACAUCGGUACCAGACCACAAUCUCUGACUACGGAGAGCUGGAAAUCAGCAGUCAAGCAAAGGUGAAAUUCCAGUCAUCCGCAUGGCUAAAAUGCCAGCAAGCAGAAUGUAGUUUUCACACAGCUGGAGAGGUGAAAGCAGGCUGCAGGAAGCAGCCAGGGAGACCUUGGGCAGGAUGGAAGAACCCCAGGGUUAAGACGAGGAGGCCACCCUGCCUGUGCUGCUUCCUUAUCAGGAUACAAGGUACUAAGAUGCCAUCCUUUCUGUCUGACGUCUCCCGUUAAGCCUCUUUGGGGCAGUAAAAGAGACUUUCUAGGUGACUAAAUCAAGAAGUUAAAGACUUUUUCUAUUUUUCUUUUCUGUUUAUUUUCUAAUUCUACUUAUUGCAGUGAUAUUCUGAGCUGGGUACAAGAUUAUAGGACUUACAUGUGAGAGAGGAGAAGGAUGGUGCGAACAUUUGCUGAGUGCUUACUGUAUACCAAGCUCUCGCCGUAAAAGGUCUCCCGUGUUCCUAACAACAAACUGAAAAGAGAUGAGGACCUGGGACUUCCUGAGAGCUCAUAUAUCAAAAGCCGGGAUUUCAGGCUGGAUCCAACUCCGAAACAUGUGUUCUCUUUACCGCGCUGUUCUCUUUUGGAUUCCAAAACUAUGUAAGAGGGACCAGAGGGAGAGAAUUUCUUCAGAGGAAAAGAUCUAAUAUCAUUUGCAAUAUGUUUAAUAUGUUUGCAUAUCUUGUUAGGAAAUCUACGUGGUGCAAAAUGGACCUUGUUUGUUUUUUUUAAAAUAUCUCCUAUAUUCCAAUUUGUAUUUUCUAUUUGGAAUGCUCAUCUAGAAAGUUGCAUCUUGAUGGCUGCAAAAUACUGGUGGAAAUUGCUGCUUUUGCUACAAUAACAUCUAUAAUGCUCUUAGUGAUGGCCUUUUCGCUUGUGGUACUACUUUUUUAACCAGUUGCCAGGAAAAGCAAGCCACUCAAAAGAAGUUUAUUGUGAAGUUACAAUGGGUUAUCUCUGGCCAUCCUGGGGAGGGGAGAUCAAUGUAAAGUUCAUGCAUUGGACUGAAGGCUAGACCGUGAACUGAGGGCUUGCCCGUGUCUCCCACCACUGGCCAUUUUCGUUGCUGUGUUCUCUGGUUGUCCACCCACUUUCCCAAGGGUUUCUGCCUGUAUAUCAGUAUGAUCUUGACACAAAAUAGCCCCCAGGUCUCUCAGUUUCUAUGAUCACUAGGUUGCCAUCCGAAAAAACUCUUGAGCCUCUUUAAUUUCCAGAGAAAAUUCUGACUGUUUAAUGCUAUCGGUGUCUUUGGUCAAAUGCCCUCCGCUGAACCGCUAGUGUCCCUGGGGAAAGUGGUACAAACAUGCCCAUCUCUCUAGCUGGGCUGCAGCUACAGGCAGUUCCUGGAAGAAGGGAUGUCUCUACCCUUAAACAAAAAGGGUACAAAUGUGUUCUUGUCAUUAGAGUGUCUUCAUAUAGUCUUCUUUGAACUAGAAUCAUUUACCCUCAUUUUGCUCUUAAAACUAUGACCAACUGUGUAAGUGGCUUUCCUGUUGUCAUUUGACAAAAUAAACUAGAGACAAAGCCUAGGUUUCUAGGAUCCUUGACUUUCUACCAUAUCAGGCUGCACCUUCUUUCAUGGAAAUGUACAAAACAUUUGAAAGAAUGUUGUCCUGUUUUGCUUUCAGCCUACAGUGUAAUUCUCAUUUAGUACUCAGGAAUGAAUUUUCUGAUUUGAAGCCACAGUGCGUACUGGCUUCUCUUCAUAGAACUACAUUUUUGCGAUUUGUCUAAGAUUUUGUGUUGUACUCCAUUAGAAGUUUGUGAUGUAUUUUCCUAUUCUGACAUUGUAUGAACUUCCAGGAAUGAUGCACACCACACACACACCCAAAAAUUGUGAGUUGUGUUCCGGUCUGUAGAAUGAUUGUAGCUCCAGUUUGUACAUUCCUGAAAGGAACCAUGAUCUGAGGAGUCAUCUUUACAUGCAGGGAGAAAGCCAGGUAUGGUGGUCCAUGCCUGUAAUCCCAGCACUAGAGAGCUGAAUCAGCUGGAGCAUCACAAAUCUGAGGUUAGCCUGGUCUACCCAGCAGUUUCCAGGCCUGCCUAGGCUACAUAGAGAGACUAUGUCUCAAAUAAAUAACAAGGAAAUAAAAUGCAUAGAAUGUUUAUAUUACUUUUCAAUGACUGCCAAACUUCAAACUAAAAAUCAGGAAAAGAAAGAAAGAAAAGAAGAAAAGGAGAGAGAGGGAGGGAAGGAAGGAAGGAAGGAAGAAAGAAAAUUUCUCUGCAGUAAAGUCUGCUAUUUUUUUCCCAAUGUUUAAAGAAGUGAUAGUGUUUGAUAGAUGAAAGGAAUUUGUUUCUGUCCUUAAAAACACACAGUGUGGUAUAAUGAAUAAAUUAAAAUACACAUAUAAAA